AGUGAACGCUGGCGGUAGGCCUAACACAUGCAAGUCGAACGGCAGCACAGUAAGAGCUUGCUCUUACGGGUGGCGAGUGGCGGACGGGUGAGGAAUACAUCGGAAUCUACUUUUUCGUGGGGGAUAACGUAGGGAAACUUACGCUAAUACCGCAUACGACCUACGGGUGAAAGCAGGGGAUCUUCGGACCUUGCGCGAUUGAAUGAGCCGCUGUCGGGUUCGCUAGUUGGCGGGGUAAGGGCCCACCAAGGCGACGAUCCGUAGCUGGUCUGAGGGGAUGAUCAGCCACCCUGGACUGGAGACCCGGUCCAGACUCCUACGGGAGGCAGCAGUGGGAAUUUUUGGACAAUGGGCGCAAGCCUGAUCCAGCCAUACCGCGUGGGUGAAGAAGGCCUUCGGGUUGUAAAGCCCUUUUGUUGGGAAAGAAAAGCAGCAGGUUAAUACCCCGCUGUUCUGACGGUACCCAAAGAAUAAGCACCGGCUACCUUCGU
rnacentral:rRNA from 1 species